rnacentral:rRNA from 1 species
AACCUCUGCAAUAGGCGAAAGCCUGACAGGGUUACUCUGAGUGAUUCCCGCUAAGGGGAUCUUUGGCACCUCUAAAAAUGGUGCAGAAUAAGGGGUGGGCAAGUCUGGUGUCAGCCGCCGCGGUAAUACCAGCACCCCGAGUGGUCGGGACGAUUAUUGGGCCUAAAGCAUCCGUAGCCGGUCAUGCAAGUCCUCCGUUAAAUCCACCUGCUUAACAGAUGGGCUGCGGAGGAUACUACAAGGCUAGGAGGCGGAAGAGGCAAGCGGUACUCAGUGGGUAGGGGUAAAAUCCUCUGAUCCAUUGAAGACCACCAGUGGCGAAGGCGGCUUGCCAAUACGCGCUCGACGGUGAGGGAUGAAAGCUGGGGGAGCAAACCGGAUUAGAUACCCGGGUAGUCCCAGCUGUAAACGAUGCAGACUCGGUGAUGGGCGGGCUUUAUGCCAGCUCAGUGCCGCAGGGAAGCCGUUAAGUCUGC